GAAUGUAUCAAAGAGAUAACAACAUGACCAAAGAGCAGAUAACAGCCAUAGGUCACCGAUGGGUCUUCAUUGCAACGAGAAAAUCCCGCAACCUGAGACUGGGGUGGAUCUAGUCAUAUAAAGGAGGGGUUCCUAACCCAGGACAAAAUUUUUUUUUGGGGGGGGGGUGUCCAACUACAUGUCCCCAUUCAAAUGCAUUGAUCGUCCAAUAAAGAAAGGGGGUUCCAACAUGUCCAACCUUCAGC
rnacentral:lncRNA from 1 species